CCGGCGACCGGCGCACGGGUACGUAACGCGUAUGUAACCUACCUAUAACAGGGGCAUAACACUGAGAAAUUGGUACUAAUUCCCCAUAAUAUUCGGAGAGGCAUCUCUCCGGGUUGAAAACUCCGGUGGUUAUAGAUGGACAUGCGUUGUAUUAGCUAGUUGGUGAGGUAACGGCUCACCAAGGCAACGAUACAUAGGGGGACUGAGAGGUUAACCCCCCACACUGGUACUGAGACACGGACCAG
rnacentral:rRNA from 1 species